rnacentral:tRNA from 1 species
GUUUUCCGAUACUGGCCCGCAGGCUCAUAACCUGAAGGUCGUAGGUUCAAAUCCUACCCCCGCAACCA